rnacentral:rRNA from 1 species
GCGGUAAUACCAGCUCUCCGAGUGGUGAGGACGAUUAUUGGGCUUAAAGCGUUCGUAGCCGGCUUAACAAGUCUUCCGUUAAAUCCAACGAUCUAAUCGUUGGGCCGCGGAAGAUACUGUUGAGCUAGGAGGCGGGAGAAGCCGACGGUAUUCUCGGGGUAGGGGUGAAAUCCUGUAAUCCCGG